rnacentral:pre_miRNA from 1 species
CGGGACAGGGUAGUUUCCCACCUAUAGCUUUUGUGUGGUUUCUUUACGGGAAUCACAGAGAGUUGGUUGGACUUAGGAGGUCUUG